rnacentral:lncRNA from 1 species
UCAACCAAGGUUCGAAUUACGGGGGGGAUUGAAUGUCUUUAUAGUUUCGGUGUACCUGGUGGUGGGGGACUUUAAUUAAUGAUACUCAAAAGACGCACUAGUGACGUAUGCGGCAAAAGUUGGACAGCAGAAACAAGAUUUGAUUAACAGAAAUAAAGAGAGACAUAGCAAAGGAGGAAAUCUUCAAAAUCCUGAAAACAAGGAUGCCAACAAGAAAAAGUUAAAUGAACAUGAUUAUCACUUAUUGGCCAAAGUCCUAUCUGUUGGG